UACGAAGGGAGCUAGCGUUGUUCGGAAUCACUGGGCGUAAAGCGCACGUAGGCGGAUUGCUAAGUCAGGGGUGAAAUCCUGGAGCUCAACUCCAGAACUGCCUUUGAUACUGGCGAUCUUGAGUCCGGGAGAGGUGAGUGGAACUCCGAGUGUAGAGGUGAAAUUCGUAGAUAUUCGGAAGAACACCAGUGGCGAAGGCGGCUCACUGGUCCGGUACUGACGCUGAUGUGCGAAAGCGUGGGGAGCAAACAGG
rnacentral:rRNA from 1 species